rnacentral:rRNA from 1 species
ACAGAGGUCUCAACCGUUGUUCGGAUUCAUUGGGCGUAAAGGGUGCGUAGGCGGCCCUAUAAGUCAGUGCUGAAAUAUCCCGGCUCAACCGGGAGGGUGGCAUUGAUACUGUAGGGCUUGAGUAAAGUUGAGGUUGGCGGAAUUGACGGUGUAGCGGUGAAAUGCUUAGAUAUCGUCAAGAACACCUAUUGCGAAGGCAGCUAACUAAGCUUUAACUGACGCUGAGGCACGAAAGUGUGGGGAUCAAACAGGA